UACGUAGGGUGCUAGCGUUGUCCGGAUUUAUUGGGCGUAAAGAGCUCGUAGGCGGCAUAGUAAGUCGAAAGUCAAAACACUGGGCUUAACCCAGUGCCGCUUUCGAUACUGCUGAGCUUGAGUAUGGCAGGGGAGAUCGGAAUUCCACGUGUAGCGGUGAAAUGCGCAGAUAUGUGGAGGAACACCGGUGGCGAAGGCGGAUCUCUGGGCCAUUACUGACGCUGAGGAGCGAAAGCGUGGGGAGCGAACAGG
rnacentral:rRNA from 1 species